GACGAACGCUGGCGGCGUGCCUAAUACAUGCAAGUCGAGCGAAGGUUUUCUGGUGCUUGCACCUGAAAGACUUAGCGGCGAACGGGGGUGUAACACGUAAAGAACCUGCCUCAUACACUGGGACAACUAUUGGAAACGAUACCUAAUACCGGAUAAUAGCAUUAACUGCAUGGUUGAUGUUUAAAAGUUGUUUUUGCUAACACUAUGAGAUUGCUUUGCGGUGCAUUAGCUAGUUGGUGGGGUAAAGGCCUACCAAGGCGACGAUGCAUAGCCGACCUGAGAGGGUGAUCGGCCACACUGGGACUGAGACACGGCCCAGACUCCUACGGGAGGCAGCAGUAGGGAAUCUUCCGCAAUGGGCGAAAGCCUGACGGAGCAACGCCGCGUGAGUGAAGAAGGACUUCGGUUCGUAAAGCUCUGUUGUUAGGGAAGAAUGAUUGUGUAGUAACGAUACACAGUAGAGACGGUACCUAAAGAGAAAGCCACGGCUAACUACGUG
rnacentral:rRNA from 1 species